AGUUCCACCGGAUCGACGGACCGCGUGACGACGAGAUAGUCACGAAUCGCGAUGCUGUGACGCUGUUC
rnacentral:sRNA from 1 species